rnacentral:misc_RNA from 1 species
GAUGAAGAACGUAGCGAAAUGCGAUAAGUAGUGUGAAUUGCAGAAUUCCGUGAAUCAUCGAAUCUUUGAACGCACAUUGCGCCCGCCAGUAUUCUGGCGGGCAUGCCUGUUCGAGCGUCAUUUCAACCAUCAAGCCCCAGGCUUGUGUUGGGGACCUGCGGCUGCCGCAGGCCCUGAAAACCAGUGGCGGGCUCGCUGUCACACCGGGCGUAGUAGAUUUUAUCUCGCUCAGGGCGUGCUGCGGGUUCCGGCCGUUAAAAAGCCUUUUUUACCCAAGGUUGACCUCGGAUCAGGUAGGAAGACCCGCUGAACUUAAGCAUAUCAAUAAGCGGAGGA